UACGGAGGGUGCAAGCGUUGUUCGGAAUCAUUGGGCGUAAAGCGCACGUAGGCGGGUUUGUAAGUUGAUUGUGAAAUCCCAGGGCUCAACCUUGGAAUUGCAGUCAAAAACUGCAGAUCUUGAAUACUUGAGAGGGUGGGAGAAUUCCUGGUGGAGAAGUGAAAUUCGUAGAGAUCAGGAGGAAUACCGGAGGCGAAGGCGCCUGCCUGGCAAGAUAUUGACGCUGAGGUGCGAAAGCGUGGGUAGCAAACAGG
rnacentral:rRNA from 1 species